GAUGAACGCUGGCGGCGUGCCUAAUACAUGCAAGUCGAGCGAACGGACGAGAAGCUUGCUUCUCUGAUGUUAGCGGCGGACGGGUGAGUAACACGUGGAUAACCUACCUAUAAGACUGGGAUAACUUCGGGAAACCGGAGCUAAUACCGGAUGAUAUUUUGAACCGCAUGGUUCAAAAGUGAAAGACGGUCUUGCUGUCACUUAUAGAUGGAUCCGCGCUGCAUUAGCUAGUUGGUAAGGUAACGGCUUACCAAGGCAACGAUGCAUAGCCGACCUGAGAGGGUGAUCGGCCACACUGGAACUGAGACACGGUCCAGACGCCUACGGGAGGCAGCAGUAGGGAAUCUUCCGCAAUGGGCGAAAGCCUGACGGAGCAACGCCGCGGGAGUGAUGAAGGUCUUCGGAUCGUAAAACUCUGUUAUUAGGGAAGAACAUAUGUGUAAGUAACUGUGCACAUCUUGACGGUACCUAAGCAGAAAGCCACGGCUAACUACGU
rnacentral:rRNA from 1 species